GUCAGUCUCCCUUGUGUUUAUAGCUGCUUUCCCUUUCAGAACUAUAGGGGCAAAGAAUCAUCCAAAUAACAGUUUUUACCGACAUCCUGACAAUGAAUUAAUAGAAACAAUGGCAUGAGACACGCAGCUUGUAAAAGACCUGCUUCUAGGUGUCGCUUUCACCCUUAAAUUCAGGGCUAUGUACCAAAGUAAGUGUUCUCAGGUACCCCACAAACAUUUGGGGUGUCCCAGGAAUGAAAUAAUAUGACUUUGUAAACCCAGUAUUGCUGAUGCUGCUACAGUCGAGCAAAACAAGCUUCCCUCCCGUUGUCCUACAGAGGUAUUUUGUACCGUCAGAAGGCUGUAUUUAUAAGUGGGAGAUGGUGCUGGAGCCCAUUUAUCCAACCUUCACUUCUACCUCUAAAUGAGCAGACGGUUCUACUGGGGAUUCUUUAACCUGGGCCCUCACCACUGCUCUCCGCUUUUGACAUGGAACGGGCAGACACCAUUUGUGACCGUGCGAAUAUCCUGAGUCACACACUACCAGCUGGCUUUUGUGCUGCAGUUUUCCCUUCUCCCUUUACGACUGCACUCCCUAGAGGAGACCUGAACAAUUGCACUCGUCAGCAGAAGCGCAUGGUGUGCCGUGCCUGGAUGGCACCAUUGGUGGACGACCUCUGGCUGUGUCUGUGGGCUUCCUUUUGUAGCUGGGUUUCAUUCUGUUAGAUCCAGUUGAUUUGGCUUCUGCUCUGCCUGGGCUUUGCACCUGCUACAGCCCCAGCAAACUUGGCAGCAACCCUUCGGCUCUGCAGAGAAAACAACUGUCUAGACCAGGAACGUUCUGCCUGAUGCCCUGGACGGACCCCAGGCACUAAUCUGCAUCCACAACGGCGCGUUGUUGUGUCUGUUGCAAAAGAUGGAUAAAAUCUUUGUGGACUCCUAAUUGCACCUUUAGCCUCCUGCUGUUCUGCAUUUAUGAUCUGAUCUGCACGCUGAGUCAACGUCGCUGUAACGACAUGGAUGGAGGGCAGAGGUCCGCAGGUUUGCUUUGAGGAAGCCCCAUAAACAGGGCAGAUGUUUCUGAUGGCGAUGCCGGAGCCAGCAGAACCCCUGCAGCAGUGCAGCCCCAUGGUGCUGGAGGCCCUUCCAGACUGGAGGUGUGGCGGUGGUCUGCAUGUCAGCAGAGCAGUCCCAGCAGCGUUCAGCAUGGAUGAGGUGAGGGAUGUUCACAGAGCCCCCGUCACCCACUAGGUAGCCAGAAGCAGCAGAAAAGCACACCACAGGGCUGCCGUCUGUGGCUGCAAUCUGCAGAACGCAGUGCUGUGCCUUGCAUUCUCCAUCCUUCUAGGUAUUGAACGCAUCCCCGUGCCUCUGGGGGGCAACGUGGCUUCUGCUGACGUGUGAACACUCUGCUUGGCAGCCUGGUGCAGCACAUCACAGCUCAGAUGGGUUCUCCCAGGCGGCUGUGCAGCACAGAGCUAAUACAUGGAAUACAGGCUCAGCACCGUGAGUCAGCACUGCCGGAGCCCAGACUUGUUUGCAGCAGCAGCGAGGCGGUGCGGGAGGUGUGGGCUGCGGGAGCCCUUCUGCCCAAACGCCAUCCGGGAUGAAAUGGGGCUAACAGGGAGCAAAAGGCUGAACGGUGCUCGUGGACUCGUUCUGCACCGACCUGCCAGUCUGCAGGCCCCAAAAAUACAGGCACGGCCCAAAGGUUUCUAUUCAGGGCUCAGCAGUGGAAUAAGGAACAUGAGCCGUGGGAUAUCCCGUGUCACCGCAGGCUGCUCAGCCUGGAAGGGGCUGGUGGCAAAGGGAGGAAACGUCAGAAACGCCAUGGACUAUUUUAGAUCUGCAACCUCAGUUCUGCAAAGGACAGCCUGCUGAUGUGCCACGCUCAGCGAGCAGCGGGGAGGAACCCCACGGCAGGAAGAGAGGUUUGCAAGUUUCCCUUUCCCAUAGAGCACAUCCCAAACUGCUGCACGACAGCAUGCUGUGCAGUGCUGUGCUGCGUGGUGUCCUGUCAGCCUGCUGGGAGGACACGGAGUGCUCCAGCAGUGGGCAAUGUGGGAGCAGGCUGUGAGCUGCACAGCCCAGCAUACAGCACGGUGUGAGGCUGGAACUCCCAGUGCCCUCAGCACGUCUCCGUGCUGCGUCCCUGGCUGUGCAGCUCGGCCUGGAGGGCCCGGGGCUGUGAGCUCAUGGGUUUCUAUUUAUGCUUUCAUCUGGUUUUGCCUGCUUUGGACGGUUAACGUAACGCACACGCAGGGUGGUGCUUCAAGGAGACAAACAGUUGCUUCAUCUCCCUGUACAGACAGCCCUCUGCCCUUUGCGUUUCGAUUCCCGGUGUCUGUGUGUGUGGAGGUGAUUUGUCCAUAAUUGUUUGCUUUCUCCGGAGUCCUUUGAAGCGUCUGUCUCCCAACCGGUCCCCUCUUAAGAAUAAAUGCUUCCAAGCCACCAAUAACACGUGGGCCAUGAUUACAGCCCGGCUCCUCGCUGAGGGCCGUGAGGUCACCGAGGCAGCGCAGUGGGAACGGUUUUGCCUUCUGUGUGUGGGGUUGGGCAGAAGGACCCCCUGUGCUGCAGUGAGGGGCGGGGAGGGCUCUGUGUGGUGCUGGGGGGGCUCUCCGGGCACCGCGGCCUUUUCUUUUUGCUUUAUUGCCAUACCGAGUAUUUAUAUGGGGGCAGGAAGCGGUGUUUAAGGACGGUCUGUGCGCUCUGUGUGCCCCUUUGGAGGGCGUUACGAUGGGCUUUAAUUCCCUCAGCCCGUUUUCUUGCCCUUCUUGCCUCCUGUCUGCUGCAGGAGGUAAAGCCUCGCUGCGCACUGCCCGCGUGGGGCUCUCCAUCCCACCAGCCAAAACGUGGGCUCUCUGUUGGGUCUCUCCAUCCCAAGUGUGUCCCUCUG
ensembl:lncRNA